rnacentral:rRNA from 1 species
UAUUAAAGGCAACGCCUGCCCAGUGAACAAUUAAACGGCCGCGGUAUCCUAACCGUGCAAAGGUAGCGUAAUCACUUGUCUAUUAAUUGUAGACCCGUAUGAAAGGCAAAAUGAGGGUCUAACUGUCUCUUUUAGUCAAUCAAUUAAACUGAUCCCCUAGUCCAAAAGCUAGGAUACCACCAUAAGACCAGAAGACCCUGUGAAGCUUUUAACUAAACUAUUAAACCCAUUAAUAGCUCCUUUAGGUUGGGGCGACCUUGGAAAAAAAAAGAACUUCCAAACAUACAAUACAACAAUAUUGAUACAGGCCAACAAGCCAACCAACGACCCAGCACAGCUGACAAUUGAACCAAGUUACUCCAGGGAUAACAGCGCUAUCUUCUUCAAGAGCCCAUAUCAAAAAGAAGGUUUACGACCUCGAUGUUGGAUCAGGACAUCCUAACGGUGCAGCCGCUGUUAAGGGUUCGUUUGUUCAACGAUUAACAGUCCUACGUGAUCU